rnacentral:rRNA from 1 species
UACGGGGGGAGCAAGCGUUGUUCGGAUUUACUGGGCGUAAAGGGCGCGUAGGCGGUCAGCACAAGUCAGUUGUGAAAUCUCCGGGCUUAACUCGGAAAGGUCAACUGAUACUGUGCGACUAGAGUGCGGAAGGGGCAACUGGAAUUCUUGGUGUAGCGGUGAAAUGCGUAGAUAUCGAGAGGAACACCUGCGGCGAAGGCGGGUUGCUGGGCCGACACUGACGCUGAGGCGCGAAAGCGUGGGGAGCAAACAGG